rnacentral:rRNA from 1 species
CAUGCAAGUCGAACGCUUCUUUUUCCACCGGAGCUUGCUCCACCGGAAAAAGAGGAGUGGCGAACGGGUGAGUAACACGUGGGUAACCUGCCCAUCAGAAGGGGAUAACACUUGGAAACAGGUGCUAAUACCGUAUAACAAUCGAAACCGCAUGGUUUUGAUUUGAAAGGCGCUUUCGGGUGUCGCUGAUGGAUGGACCCGCGGUGCAUUAGCUAGUUGGUGAGGUAACGGCUCACCAAGGCCACGAUGCAUAGCCGACCUGAGAGGGUGAUCGGCCACAUUGGGACUGAGACACGGCCCAAACUCCUACGGGAGGCAGCAGUAGGGAAUCUUCGGCAAUGGACGAAAGUCUGACCGAGCAACGCCGCGUGAGUGAAGAAGGUUUUCGGAUCGUAAAACUCUGUUGUUAGAGAAGAACAAGGAUGAGAGUAACUGUUCAUCCCUUGACGGUAUCUAACCAGAAAGCCACGGCUAACUACGUGCCAGCAGCCGCGGUAAUACGUAGGUGGCAAGCGUUGUCCGGAUUUAUUGGGCGUAAAGCGAGCGCAGGCGGUUUCUUAAGUCUGAUGUGAAAGCCCCCGGCUCAACCGGGGAGGGUCAUUGGAAACUGGGAGACUUGAGUGCAGAAGAGGAGAGUGGAAUUCCAUGUGUAGCGGUGAAAUGCGUAGAUAUAUGGAGGAACACCAGUGGCGAAGGCGGCUCUCUGGUCUGUAACUGACGCUGAGGCUCGAAAGCGUGGGGAGCAAACAGGAUUAGAUACCCUGGUAGUCCACGCCGUAAACGAUGAGUGCUAAGUGUUGGAGGGUUUCCGCCCUUCAGUGCUGCAGCUAACGCAUUAAGCACUCCGCCUGGGGAGUACGACCG